AGAGUUUGAUCCUGGCUCAGAACGAACGCUGGCGGCGUGGAUUAGGCAUGCAAGUCGAACGCGAAAGUCACCUUCGGGUGGCGAGUAGAGUGGCGAACGGGUGAGUAACACGUGAGGAACUUGCCUUCGACAGGGGGAUAACACUCUUAACAGGGUGCUAAUACCGCAUGAGACCACGGGGCUGCAUGGCCCUGAGGUCAAAGGUGGCCUCUAUUUAUAAGCUACCGGUCGAAGAUGGCCUCGCGUCCCAUUAGCUAGUUGGCGGUGUAACGGACCACCAAGGCGACGAUGGGUAGCUGGUCUGAGAGGAUGGUCAGCCACACUGGGACUGAGAUACGGCCCAGACUCCUACGGGAGGCAGCAGUCGAGAGGCUUUGGCAAUGGGGGAAACCCUGACCAAGCGACGCCGCGUGAAGGAUGAAGGCCCUUGGGUUGUAAACUUCUUUUGCUAGGGAAGAAACACGAUCAGGUGAAUAAUCUGGUCGUUGACGGUACCUGGCGAAUAGUCC
rnacentral:rRNA from 1 species